AUUGAACGCUGGCGGCAUGCCUUACACAUGCAAGUCGAACGGUAACGGGCCUUCGGGUGCCGACGAGUGGCGAACGGGUGAGUAAUGUAUCGGAACGUGCCCAGUAGUGGGGGAUAGCCCGGCGAAAGCCGGAUUAAUACCGCAUACGACCUACGGGUGAAAGGGGGGGAUCGCAAGACCUCUCGCUAUUGGAGCGGCCGAUAUCAGAUUAGGUAGUUGGUGGGGUAAAGGCCUACCAAGCCUGCGAUCUGUAGUUGGUCUGAGAGGACGACCCGCAACACUGGGACGGAGAAACGGCCCAGACUCCUACGGGAGGCAGCAGUGGGGAAUUUUGGACAAUGGGGGCAAGCAUGAUCCAGCACUGCCGGGUGCAGGAAGAAGGCCUUCGGGUUGUAAACUGCUUUUGUCAGGGAAGAAAUCCUCUGGGUUAAUACCUCGGGGGGAUGACGGUACCUGAAGAAUAAGCACCGGCUAACUACGUGCCAGCAGCCGCCGUAACAC
rnacentral:rRNA from 1 species